rnacentral:rRNA from 1 species
AUUGAACGCUGGCGGCAGGCCUAACACAUGCAAGUCGAGCGGAGCGGCGGACGGGUGAGUAAUGCCUAGGAAUCUGCCUGGUAGUGGGGGAUAACGUCCGGAAACGGGCGCUCAUACCGCAUACUAUCAGAUGAGCCUAGGUCGGAUUAGCUAGUUGGUGGGGUAAAGGCCUACCAAGGCGACGAUCCGUAACUGGUCUGAGAGGAUGAUCAGUCACACUGGAACUGAGACACGGUCCAAACUCCUACGGGAGACUGCGGUGGGGAAUAUUGGACGAUGGGCGAAAGCCAGGUCGAGCCAUACCGCGUGUGUGAAGAAGGUCUUCGGAUUGAAAAGCACUUUAAGUUGGGAGGCGUUACCAACAGAAUAAGCACCGGCUGACUUCGUGCCAGCCGCCGAGGUAAUAC